UACAUAGGGUGCAAGCGUUGUCCGGAAUUAUUGGGCGUAAAGAGCUCGUAGGCGGUGUGUCGCGUCGGCCGUGAAAACCUGCAGCUUAACUGUGGGCUUGCGGUCGAUACGGGCAUCACUGGAGUUCGGCAGGGGAGACUGGAAUUCCUGGUGUAGCGGUGAAAUGCGCAGAUAUCAGGAGGAACACCGGUGGCGAAGGCGGGUCUCUGGGCCGAUACUGACGCUGAGGAGCGAAAGCGUGGGGAGCGAACAGG
rnacentral:rRNA from 1 species